rnacentral:rRNA from 1 species
UACAGAGGUCCCAAGCGUUGUUCGGAUUCAUUGGGCGUAAAGGGUGCGUAGGUGGCGCGCUAAGUCGGGUGUGAAAUUUCGGGGCUUAACUCCGAAACUGCAUUCGAUACUGGCGUGCUUGAGGACUGGAGAGGAGACUGGAAUUCAUGGUGUAGCAGUGAAAUGCGUAGAGAUCAUGAGGAAGACCAGUGGCGAAGGCGGGUCUCUGGACAGUUCCUGACACUGAGACACGAAGGCCAGGGGAGCAAACGGG